GCAGUAGCCACGGUAAUACGUAGGGUGCGAGCGUUAAUCGGAAUUACUGGACGUAAAGCGUGCGCAGGCGGUUGUGUAAGACAGGUGUGAAAUCCCCGGGCUUAACCUGGGAACUGCGCUUGUGACUGCACAGCUAGAGUAUGGCUGAGGGGGGUGGAAUUCCACGUGUAGCAGUGAAAUGCGUAGAGAUGUGGAGGAACACCGAUGGCGAAGGCAGCCCCCUGGGCCAAUACUGACGCUCAUGCACGAAAGCGUGGGGAGCAAACAGGAUUAGAUACCCCAGUAGUCCCUGUCUCUUAUAA
rnacentral:rRNA from 1 species